rnacentral:rRNA from 1 species
AUUGAACGCUGGCGGCAGGCCUAACACAUGCAAGUCGAACGAGUGGCGGACGGGUGAGUAAUGUCUGGGAAACUGCCUGAUGGAGGGGGAUAACUACUGGAAACGGUAGCUAAUCCCGCAUACCAUCAGAUGUGCCCAGAUGGGAUUAGCUAGUUGGUGGGGUAACGUCUCACCACGGCGACUAUCCCUAGCUGGUCUGAGAGGAUGACCAGCGACGGUGGAACUGAGACACGGUCCAGACUCCUACGGGAGGCAGCAGUGGGGAAUAUUGCGCAAUGAGCGCAAGCCUGAUGCAGCCAUGCCGCGUGUAUGAAGAAGGCCUUCGGGUUGUAAAGUACUUUCAGCGGAGAGGCGUUACCCGCAGAAGAAGCCCCGGCUAACUCCGUGCCAGCAGCCGCGGUAAUUC